rfam:Culex flavivirus isolate M-20, complete genome
CCCCAGUCCCUAGGUCAAGUGAAUGACCCCGUGAUGUUGUGAGGACA